CGCCACGAGUGGCAAUCAUGAUUAUUGGGCUAAAGCGUUCGUAGCCGGAUUGGUAAGUCUUGGGUGAAAUCGUUACGCUUAACAAAACGACGUGCUUGAGAUACUGUCAGUCUAGGGACCGGGAGGUGUUAGGGGUAUUUCCGAGGGAGCGGUAAAAUGCUAUAAUCUCGGGAGGACCACCUGUGGCGAAGGCGCCUAACAAGAACGGGUCCGACGGUGAGGAACGAAAGCUAGGGGAGCAAACCGGAUUAGAUCCUGAGGUUCUUUUUAUGUUGAUUUUUAUUUUUUGCUUGAUAAAAAAUACUAAAUAAAAAUUAAUAAUUAAAAAUAAUGAAGGACAUAAAACUCAGUUAAAGACCCGAGUAGUCCUAGCUGUAAACGCUGUGUACUAGAUGUUGCAUAUUCUACAUGGAUAUGCAGUGUCGGCACGAAGGUAUUAAGUACACCGCCUGGGAAGUACGGUCGCAAGGCUGAAACUUAAAGGAAUUGGCGGGAGAGCACCACAAGGGGUGCGGCGUGCGGUUUAAUCUAACUUUACGCAGAGAAUCUCACCAGCAGCGACGGCAGGAUGAAGGUCAGAUUAAAUGUCUUACCUAACGAGCCGAGAGGUAGUGCAUGGCCGUCGUCAGCUCGUGCCGUAAGGUGUCCUCUUAAGUGAGGUAACGAGCGAGACCCAUACCCAUAAUUGCCAGCGGGUUCUUUAGAAUGACUGGGCACAUUAUGGGGACUGCCCUGGAAACAGGGAGGAAGGUGUGGGCAACGGUAGGUCUGUAUGCUCCGAAUCUGCUGGGCUACACGCGCGCAACAAUGGCAAGGACAAUAGGAUGCAACACCGAAAGGUGAAGCUAACCCCAGAAACCUUGUCUUAGUUUAGAUUGAGGGUUGUAAUUCAUUCUCAUGACAACGGAAUCCCUAGUAAUCGGACUUCAUCACGGUCCGGUGAAUAUGUCCCUGCUCUUUGC
rnacentral:rRNA from 1 species